UACGUAGGUCCCGAGCGUUGUCCGGAUUUAUUGGGCGUAAAGCGAGCGUAGGUGGUUUAUUAAGUCUGGUGGAAAAGGCAGUGGCUCAACCAUUGUAUGCAUUGGAAACUGGUAGACUUGAGUGCAGGAGAGGAGAGUGGAAUGCCAUGUGUAGCGGUGAAAUGCGUAGAUAUAUGGAGGAACACCGGUGGCGAAAGCGGCUCUCUGGCCUGUAACUGACACUGAGGCUCGAAAGCGUGGGGAGCAAACAGG
rnacentral:rRNA from 1 species